CUCAGGACGAACGCUGGCGGCGUGCCUAAUACAUGCAAGUCGAGCGGACAGAAGGGAGCUUGCUCCCGGAUGUUAGCGGCGGACGGGUGAGUAACACGUGGGUAACCUGCCUGUAAGACUGGGAUAACUCCGGGAAACCGGAGCUAAUACCGGAUAGUUCCUUGAACCGCAUGGUUCAAGGAUGAAAGACGGUUUCGGCUGUCACUUACAGAUGGACCCGCGGCGCAUUAGCUAGUUGGUGAGGUAACGGCUCACCAAGGCGACGAUGCGUAGCCGACCUGAGAGGGUGAUCGGCCACACUGGGACUGAGACACGGCCCAGACUCCUACGGGAGGCAGCAGUAGGGAAUCUUCCGCAAUGGACGAAAGUCUGACGGAGCAACGCCGCGUGAGUGAUGAAGGUUUUCGGAUCGUAAAGCUCUGUUGUUAGGGAAGAACAAGUGCAAGAGUAACUGCUUGCACCUUGACGGUACCUAACCAGAAAGCCACGGCUAACUACGUGCCAGCAGCCGCGGUAAUACGUAGGUGGCAAGCGUUGUCCGGAAUUAUUGGGCGUAAAGGGCUCGCAGGCGGUUUCUUAAGUCUGAUGUGAAAGCCCCCGGCUCAACCGGGGAGGGUCAUUGGAAACUGGGAAACUUGAGUGCAGAAGAGGAGAGUGGAAUUCCACGUGUAGCGGUGAAAUGCGUAGAGAUGUGGAGGAACACCAGUGGCGAAGGCGACUCUCUGGUCUGUAACUGACGCUGAGGAGCGAAAGCGUGGGGAGCGAACAGGAUUAGAUACCCUGGUAGUCCACGCCGUAAACGAUGAGUGCUAAGUGUUAGGGGGUUUCCGCCCCUUAGUGCUGCAGCUAACGCAUUAAGCACUCCGCCUGGGGAGUACGGUCGCAAGACUGAAACUCAAAGGAAUUGACGGGGGCCCGCACAAGCGGUGGAGCAUGUGGUUUAAUUCGAAGCAACGCGAAGAACCUUACCAGGUCUUGACAUCCUCUGACAACCCUAGAGAUAGGGCUUUCCCUUCGGGGACAGAGUGACAGGUGGUGCAUGGUUGUCGUCAGCUCGUGUCGUGAGAUGUUGGGUUAAGUCCCGCAACGAGCGCAACCCUUGAUCUUAGUUGCCAGCAUUCAGUUGGGCACUCUAAGGUGACUGCCGGUGACAAACCGGAGGAAGGUGGGGAUGACGUCAAAUCAUCAUGCCCCUUAUGACCUGGGCUACACACGUGCUACAAUGGACAGAACAAAGGGCUGCGAGACCGCAAGGUUUAGCCAAUCCCACAAAUCUGUUCUCAGUUCGGAUCGCAGUCUGCAACUCGACUGCGUGAAGCUGGAAUCGCUAGUAAUCGCGGAUCAGCAUGCCCGGUGGAAUACCUUUCCCGGGCCUUGUACACACCGCCCGUCACACCACGAGAGUUUGCAACACCCGAAGUCGGUGAGGUAACCUUUAUGGAGCCAGCCGCCGAAGGUGGGGCAGAUGAUUGGGGUGAG
rnacentral:rRNA from 1 species